AGAAUCAACGCUGGCGGCGUGCCUAACACAUGCAAGUCGCACGAGAAAGGGACUUCGGUCCUGAGUAAAGUGGCGCACGGGUGAGUAACACGUGACUAAUCUACCCUCGAGUGGGGAAUAACCUAGGGAAACCUGGGCUAAUACCGCAUAACACUUACGAGUCAAAGCAGCAAUGCGCUUGGGGAGGAGGUCGCGGCAGAUUAGUUAGUUGGCGGGGUAAUGGCCCACCAAGACGAUGAUCUGUAUCCGGCCUGAGAGGGCGCACGGACACACUGGAACUGAAACACGGUCCAGACUCCUACGGGAGGCAGCAGUGGGGAAUUUUGCGCAAUGGGGGAAACCCUGACGCAGCAACGUCGCGUGGAGGAUGAAGUCUCGUUGGGACGUAAACUCCUUUCGACAGGGACGAUAAUGACGGUACCUGUAGAAGAAGCCCGGCUAACUUCGUGCCAGCAGCCGC
rnacentral:rRNA from 1 species